AGAGUGAACGCUGGCGGUAGGCCUAACACAUGCAAGUCGAACGGCAGCACAGUAGGAGCUUGCUCUUACGGGUGGCGAGUGGCGGACGGGUGAGGAAUACAUCGGAAUCUACCUUUUGGUGGGGGAUAACGUAGGGAAACUUACGCUAAUACCGCAUACGCCCUUCGGGGGAAAGCCGGGACCAGCAAUGGCCUGGCGCUGAUAGAUGAGCCGAUGUCGGAUUAGCUAGUUGGUGAGGUAAUGGCUCACCAAGGCGACGAUCCGUAACUGGUCUGAGAGGAUGAUCAGUCACACUGGAACUGAGACACGGUCCAGACUCUACGGAGGCAGCAGUGGGAAUAUGGACAAUGGGCGAAAGCUGAUCCAGCCAUGCCGCGUGUGUGAGAAGGUCUUCGGAUUGUAAAGCACUUUAAGUGGAGGAAGGCAGUUAACCUAAUACGUUAGUAGUUUGACGUUACCGAUAGAAUAAGCACCGGCUAACUCUGUG
rnacentral:rRNA from 1 species